AGUAAUGCGUGAAGCUAACUUGUACUAAUUGGCUGAUUGUCUUGACCAU
rnacentral:rRNA from 1 species